UUGAUCAUGGCUCAGAUUGAACGCUGGCGGAAUGCCUUACACAUGCAAGUCGAACGGCAGCACGGGAGCAAUCCUGGUGGCGAGUGGCGAACGGGUGAGUAAUACAUCGGAACGUGCCCUGUCGUGGGGGAUAACUAGUCGAAAGAUUAGCUAAUACCGCAUACGACCUGAGGGUGAAAGCGGGGGACUCGCAAGAGCCUCGCGCUAACGGAGCGGCCGAUGUCAGAUUAGGUAGUUGGUGGGGUAAAGGCCUACCAAGCCGACGAUCUGUAGCUGGUCUGAGAGGACGACCAGCCACACUGGGACUGAGACACGGCCCAGACUCCUACGGGAGGCAGCAGUGGGGAAUUUUGGACAAUGGGGGCAACCCUGAUCCAGCCAUGCCGCGUGCGGGAAGAAGGCCUUCGGGUUGUAAACCGCUUUUGUCAGGGAAGAAAUCUUCUGGGUUAAUACCUCGGGAGGAUGACGGUACCUGAAGAAUAAGCACCGGCUAACUACGUGCCAGCGGCCGCGGUAAUACGUAGGGUGCGAGCGUUAAUCGGAAUUACUGGGCGUAAAGCGUGCGCAGGCGGUUGUGCAAGACAGAUGUGAAAUCCCCGGGCUUAACCUGGGAACUGCAUUUGUGACUGCACAGCUGGCGUGCGGCAGAGGGGGAUGGAAUUCCGCGUGUAGCAGUGAAAUG
rnacentral:rRNA from 1 species